GAUGAACGCUGGCGGCGUGCCUAAUACAUGCAAGUCGAGCGAACAGAUGAGGAGCUUGCUCCUCUGACGUUAGCGGCGGACGGGUGAGUAACACGUGGAUAACCUACCUAUAAGACUGGGAUAACUUCGGGAAACCGGAGCUAAUACCGGAUAAUAUAUUGAACCGCAUGGUUCAAUAGUGAAAGACGGUUUUGCUGUCACUUAUAGAUGGAUCCGCGCCGCAUUAGCUAGUUGGUAAGGUAACGGCUUACCAAGGCAACGAUGCGUAGCCGACCUGAGAGGGUGAUCGGCCACACUGGAACUGAGACACGGUCCAGACUCCUACGGGAGGCAGCAGUAGGGAAUCUUCCGCAAUGGGCGAAAGCCUGACGGAGCAACGCCGCGUGAGGGAUGAAGGUCUUCGGAUCGUAAAACUCUGUUAUUAGGGAAGAACAAAUGUGUAAGUAACUAUGCACGUCUUGACGGUACCUAACCAGAAAGCCACGGCUAACUACGUG
rnacentral:rRNA from 1 species